AUUGAACGCUGGCGGCAUGCCUUACACAUGCAAGUCGAACGGCAGCACGGGAGCAAUCCUGGUGGCGAGUGGCGAACGGGUGAGUAAUAUAUCGGAACGUGCCCGGUCGUGGGGAUAACGUAGCGAAAGCUACGCUAAUACCGCAUACGAUCUACGGAUGAAAGCGGGGGAUCGCAAGACCUCGCGCGAUUGGAGCGGCCGAUAUCAGAUUAGGUAGUUGGUGAGGUAAAGGCUCACCAAGCCGACGAUCUGUAGCUGGUCUGAGAGGAUGAUCAGCCACACUGGGACUGAGACACGGCCCAGACUCCUACGGGAGGCAGCAGUGGGGAAUAUUGGACAAUGGGCGCAAGCCUGAUCCAGCAAUGCCGCGUGCAGGAUGAAGGCCU
rnacentral:rRNA from 1 species